AUUGAACGCUGGCGGCAUGCCUUACACAUGCCAGUCGAACGGCAGCACGGGUGCUUGCACCUGGUGGCGAGUGGCGAACGGGUGAGUAAUACAUCGGAACAUGUUCUGUAGUGGGGGAUAGCCCGGCGAAAGCCGGAUUAAUACCGCAUACGAUCCACGGAUGAAAGCGGGGGACCUUCGGGCCUCGCGCUAUAGGGUUGGCCGAUGGCUGAUUAGCUAGUUGGUGGGGUAAAGGCCUACCAAGGCGACGAUCAGUAUCUGGUCUGAGAGGACGACCAGCCACACUGGGACUGAGACACGGCCCAGACUCCUACGGGAGGCAGCAGUGGGGAAUUUUGGACAAUGGGCGAAAGCCUGAUCCAGCAAUGCCGCGUGUGUGAAGAAGGCCUUCGGGUUGUAAAGCACUUUUGUCCGGAAAGAAAUCCUUGACUCUAAUACAGUCGGGGGAUGACGGUACCGGAAGAAUAAGCACCGGCUAACUACGUG
rnacentral:rRNA from 1 species